AAUCAUGUUUCUCUUUCGUACCUUAUCUUUUCACAUAACAUAGUAAUAUGGUUCAAGCAGACAUAUAUAGUCUCUUGUGUGGCACCCUCUAUGAAAUUGUUUUAGUAUUUGUGAUAGGAUAAGAGUCUGAGGCUUAAAGGAUUUAAAGCUAGCUUUUAUUCUCUUUUUCUCUUCCUCUUUGUUGUUUCAGUUUUGUUUUAUCCUUUUUAUUAUUUGUUUAUUUCAAUCACAGUUUGGGAACUGCAUGCUUGAUCAAUGUCUGUAAAAGUUUUAUUCAUCUGUGAAAAAACUGAUACUGUUGUUUAUUGGGUACGACUUUUGCAAAACUGCUGGAAUCUGAACCCCAUGGAUAUAAAAUAAAAAAAAAGGGUCCCUGGAAUGGAUGCAAUUAGUGAAAGUCUCAAUCUGAAGUUCUUCCCUGUUUGUCCUGAUUGCAUACAUGAUUUAUACAUGGGGAGAAUCACCUUUCAGGACAUUGAUUGUACUUCAUUUGUGCAUGUAGACUGAGUUUUACAUUCGCUGGCUUGGUGUCUGAAUUCUAGAGGCUGCUGAUGAUACAUGCAGAUGUUGAGAAUUGUUGCAACUGCUUAACCCAGUUUUUGGUAGGAAUGGUAGAACCUUGCUGGCUGCAAACUGGGUAGAUAUGACAUUUCUUGUUUUUGCAAUGGUGAAUGAGGAGCAGUGUGACUUGGAGCAUGCAUUUUGUGAAGAAAUUUCACGUCCAUAUGAAUAAAUGGAUGAGAGUUGUCCACCUCAAAACACUAAAGCAGUAGCAUGAUGCAUGUUCAUGCUACAUUUUCGUUGUGUCGUCCCGGAAUGUCGGGAGACACACACAUAAACAUUUGCAUAAGUUUGGUUGUAUUGUGUUCGAUUAUAUGUUCAUUAAACAAGUUAUAUAAUUAAGAUCUGUUGGUUCUAUUAGACAUGUUUAGGGAGUGUGGCUGCUGCUAAAUUAUUGACAACUAAUGAUGCUAGAAAAUAUGGGUCAAUUAAGAGGCAGCUUACAUAGCAUGUGUUUAGUGAAGAUGAUUUGUUAGCAUAAAUGAAUGACACCACUGGUUUCAAAGUUUGAUUCAAGUCAAAGAGCAAUAAGGGUUUUGGUAGUUAAGGGAAGUACUUGAUUGUUAAAAACAAUAAAUUAAGGUUGGCUGGAAUAAUAUACUUUCCAACAUCAAAUUAAGGUUUAAUAUAAUUGAGAUUUUUGUUUUCUAGAUGAUUGAUUGAAAGGUCAUGUGAGUUCUAAUAAUGCUUAGGGGAAAAAUCAUUUUUUUCACCAUGUGGUUUGGCUCAACUUCAUUAUUCUGCAUCAUGAGUGGAAUGGUGCCACUUUUUCGCUGUGGCUUAUUUCCUUACCUUCUUUGUGGUGCGUCAUGUAUCAUCCUCACUAACCCAAUCAAAAGUUUGCAAAACAUUCCCUAUUAAUGAUUUUAUGGUGGAUAUGAUAAAAUUUUACACCCCCUCCUAAUCCUCAAAUUUGUUGCAAGUGCAAGUAAUUGUAGUCACUAAUGCCUGUCUAGCCAACAGCAUAAACCAUAGCUGACAUUUUAUAAUUGGGUUCUACCACAGGGUGGUAAAGGGUUUCACCUAAAGCUCUUUCCCGUUUUAGCUUCUGCAUAAAAGGAAGUGGUAUCGACCAACCACAGUUUCAUUUUCUGCAUUUGAUUUGUGGCUCUUAGACAAGUUGCUUUGACUGUUUCAAUACAUUAUAUUAAUAUAAGAAAUAUUGAAUAUCGAAACAAAUGAACUUGUGAGCUAGGGACAGUAACUCAAUAAUUCUUAAUUACAUCUUUUGACUUGUAAACCAAGUUGAGAUUUCCAUAAGCAUAGGCAGUUUAGACUGGUUGUUGCCAACUGUUGGUCAAAUAGUAAAGGUAGUUAUAAUGCUUUUGGGAAUUUCAGGGCCUCAGUACGUUCUAUAUUCCUUUUUCACGUUAAUGAAUUCUCUUGAUUAUUCAUCACCUGGACUGUUGUAUUCAUAUGAUUGUGUAGAAUGUGUAGAACGAUGAUUGAUUCAAUUUGAUGAUUAUUAGUUCUGAAUCUGCUUGGACAUUAUGCUGCAUAAUCGGCAAGAAACAAUAGAAUGGAAAUUGUCUGUUUUUUCUAUCUGCAGAACUCUGAAAGGUGACUGUUAGAUGGAGCAGGUUUCAUGGCCAACCGGUCCACAUAAAUGUGGAUCAGAUCCUUCUAGUGGGUACAUUUGACAACGGGUGGUGUUAAAUUAAACAUUAUGAAAGUUGAAAAAUGAAAAUCAGGACACUGAGAAACUGAAAGGGGGAAACGAUAGUGAAUAUGGUGGCCCCUUGUAGCAUUAAAUGUGUAGCCUUUUUCCAUUAAUUUUUAUUCAAUUAAUUGGUUUGAAAUCUCUGUCUUGUAAUUUGUUUGUUCAUGCAUGUUAAUCCUGUCGUUACUAGGACUGUUUGUGAAAUAAAGAGUAAGAAUUCUGCAAGAUUCUAUUGUGGCAGCUGGGAGCAGCAACUGUUACUAGGUGAGGAUAGAAAAUAGAAGAAAAUGAGCCAUAUGAAAUGGUAGUUGAAUAUGUUGCUAGGCCUUUGGCUUCGAUGGUAUUGGGAAUUUGGGGUGGCUUGAGAGAAUGGUAGGUCCCAAGUUUUGAUGAGACAAGUGAAGAUUGAUUAUGAAAAAGAUGGUUGCUCCUGCUUGGAUCAAGUACGAGACUCAUUGAGAUGGUCCCUCCUGGUUUAGAAGACCCUGCACAGUAUUUAUUUCUUUAUUUUUCGCAUGCACCAUUUGGUGCGGUGAAGAGAUGGUCUUGGCUUCGAGCGAAAAAGACCAUUUUAUCCCUUCGGGCUCAAGUGAAGUGACAAACUAUCAUUUCUUUCUUGAUAUAAAAUAUAUUAUUUUAUUCA